rnacentral:rRNA from 1 species
GACGAACGCUGGCGGCGUGCUUAACACAUGCAAGUCGAACGAUGAACCGGUUUCGGCCGGGGAUUAGUGGCGAACGGGUGCGUAACACGUGGGCAAUCUGCCCUGCACUCUGGGAUAAGCCCGGGAAACUGGGUCUAAUACCGGAUACGACACUCCGAGGCAUCUUGGGGUGUGGAAAGUUCCGGCGGUGCAGGAUGAGCCCGCGGCCUAUCAGCUUGUUGGUGGGGUAAUGGCCUACCAAGGCGACGAAGGGUAGCCGGCCUGAGAGGGUGACCGGCCACACUGGGACUGCGACACGGCCCAGACUCCUACGGGAGGCAGCAGUGGGGAAUAUUGCACAAUGGGCGAAAGCCUGAUGCAGCGACGCCGCGUGAGGGAUGACGGCCUUCGGGUUGUAAACCUCUUUCAGCAGGGAAGAAGCGAAAGUGACGGUACCUGCAGAAGAAGCACCGGCUAACUACGUG